CCUACGGGGUGCUGCAGUGGGGAAUAUUGGACAAUGGGCGAAAGCCUGAUCCAGCCAUGCCGCGUGUGUGAAGAAGGCCUUCGGGUUGUAAAGCACUUUCAGUGGGGAAGAAAGCCUUGGGGCUAAUACCCUCGAGGAAGGACAUCACCCACAGAAGAAGCACCGGCUAACUCCGUGCCAGCAGCCGCGGUAUACGGAGGGUGCGAGCGUUAAUCGGAAUUACUGGGCGUAAAGCGCGCGUAGGCGGUCUGAUAAGCCGGUUGUGAAAGCCCCGGGCUCAACCUGGGAACGGCAUCCGGAACUGUCAGGCUAGAGUGCAGGAGAGGAAGGUAGAAUUCCCGGUGUAGCGGUGAAAUGCGUAGAGAUCGGGAGGAAUACCAGUGGCGAAGGCGGCCUUCUGGACUGACACUGACGCUGAGGUGCGAAAGCGUGGGUAGCAAACAGGAUUAGAUACCCCAGUAGUC
rnacentral:rRNA from 1 species